rnacentral:rRNA from 1 species
AGGGGGGGGGGGGGGGAGAGGGGGGCGGGGGUGGUGGGGGGGAGAAAAAAACAUAUUUUGUUGGGGGAUUUUUUUUUCCCCCCUUUUGUGGGCCGCGGGGGAAAAAAAAACCCCGGGGGGGAAAAAAAUUUUUGGGUUAAAAAUUCCCGGGAUAAAAAGUUUUUUUUAGGGGGAAAAAAGCGUUUUUUUCCCCCACCCUUGGGAGAGGGGCCCCUCCCCCCUUGGUUUUAGUUUUUUUUGGGGGGGGGGAAAAAGGGCCCCCCCCAAAGCCCAAUUGUUCCAAAAAGGUGAAUUUGGAGGGGGAAGGUUCAAGCCCCCUUUGGGGGUUGAGGCCCCGGGCCCCAAAUUCCUUCCGGGAGGCCAGCAGUAGGGGAAUUUUUCCCAAAGGGAGGGGAAUUUUGAUGGAAGGGAUCCCGGCUGAGGGAAAGAAGGCCUUUUGGGUGUAAAAGGUUCUUUGUUGGGGGAAAAAAAAUGAUUGUACCCGAAUAAGAAGGUCCGGGCUAACUUCGUGCCAGCAACCGCGGUAAUUGGAAGGGACCUAGCGUAGUUGGGAAAUUAUUGGGUUAAAGAGUUCGUAGGUGUUAAAAAAGUUGGGGGGUGAAAUCCCAGAGCUUAACUCUGGAACUGCCAUCAAAACUUUUUAGCUAGAGUAUGAUAGAGGAAAGUAGAAUUUCUAGUGUAGAGGUGAAAUUCGUAGAUAUUAGAAAGAAUACCGAUUGCGAAGGCAACUUUCUGGAUCAUUACUGACACUGAGGAACGAAAGCAUGGGUAGCGAAGAGGAUUAGAUACCCUCGUAGUCCAUGCCGUAAACGAUGUGUGUUAGACGUUGGAAAUUUAUUUUCAGUGUCGCAGCGAAAGCGAUAAACACACCGCCUGGGGAGUACGACCGCAAGGUUAAAACUCAAAUGAAUUGACGGGGACCCGCACAAGUAGUGGAGCAUGUGGUUUAAUUCGAAGAUACGCGCAGAACCUUACCAACACUUGACAUGUUCGUCGCGACUCUAAGAGAUUAGAGUUUUCGGUUCGGCCGGACGAAACACAGGUGCUGCAUGGCUGUCGUCAGCUCGUGUCGUGAGAUGUUGGGUUAAGUCCCGCAACGAGCGCAACCCUUACUUUUAGUUGCCAUCAUUUAGUUGGGCACUCUGAAAGAACUCCCAGUGAUAAGCUGGAGGAAGGUGGGGAUGACGUCAAGUCCUCAUGGCCCUUAUGUGUUGGGCUACACACGUGCUACAAUGGUAUCUACAACAGGAAGCAAGAUGGCAACAUUAAGCAAAUCCCAAAAAGAUACCUCAGUUCGGAUUACGCUCUGCAACUCGAGUGCAUGAAGCUGGAAUUACUAGUAAUCGUGGAUCAGNCGGCCCAUCUUUUUGCGCCGUUA